AUACGGAGGAUCCGAGCGUUAUCCGGAUUUAUUGGGUUUAAAGGGAGCGUAGGCGGAGGAUCAAGUCAGCUGUGAAAUGUAGACGCUCAACGUCUGCACUGCAGUUGAAACUGGUCCCCUUGAGUGCGUAAGGGGCAGGCGGAAUUCCUGGUGUAGCGGUGAAAUGCUUAGAUAUGAGGAAGAACUCCGAUGGCGAAGGCAGCUUGCCGGGCCGCAACUGACGCUGAAGCUCGAAGGUGCGGGUAUCGAACAGGAUUAGAUACCCUGGUAGUCCGCACAGUAAACGAUGGAUACUCGCUGUCGGCGAUAUACGGUCGGUGGCCAAGCGAAAGCGUUAAGUAUCCCGCCUGGGGAGUACGCCGGCAACGGUGAAACUCAAAUGAAUUGGCGGGG
rnacentral:rRNA from 1 species